AGUUUCCUGAGAUAAUUGAGAUAAACAUUCCAAACUUCCUUUCCUUUUAGAUUUUCCAAGAAGUUGUUGUGCUUAAAACUAAAAUCAAGUUUGUUUCAAGAAACACUACUCUCCUAACUGAAAUGCCUUUGUCAUGUGUCAUCAACAAGAACAGGAACAAAAAUGGCAGCACGACUACUGAGUGGGAAGUGGAAGUGAGAAUAAACAAUGCACAUGAAGACAUGGGAGCUGCUUGUGGGACACCAUCAUGUAACAAUCCAAAUAUUACAGACCCUUGUUUGCCAAAUGAUGUACUUUUAUCAGAAGAGAAGAAACCGGGCUAUUCACCCCUCCAUCGAGAAGCAAUUUGGAAUGACUGCAGCGAGUGCUUAGACUGAGGAUUUAAGAAGUGUGAGAUGUGAGAAGUUGAAAUGAGCUUGAAUGAUAUCUCAAUUUGAUCCAUUUUUAAAAAGAAAUUAAUUUGCAAUUUUAAAUAAAAUGGUAUGUUUCCUUCUUAUAUUCCCUUUGUUAAAAAAAGGAGCUGCCCUUUUAACUAUGGAGUUUUAU
rnacentral:lncRNA from 1 species